rnacentral:tRNA from 2 species
AGCCUCGAGGUGUAAUACAUAUAAGAUUGCAAAUCUUAAGUGGCAGAGUAACGUCUGCCGGGGCUU